CUUUCUUUGCUGGCGACCGGCGCACGGGUGAGUAACACGUAUCCAACCUGCCGAUGACUCGGGGAUAGCCUUUCGAAAGAAAGAUUAAUACCCGAUGGCAUAGUUCUUCCGCAUGGUAGAACUAUUAAAGGAUUUCGGUCAUCGAUGGGGAUGCGUUCCAUUAGGUUGUUGGCGGGGUAACGGCCCACCAAGCCUUCGAUGGAUAGGGGUUCUGAGAGGAAGGUCCCCCACAUUGGAACUGAGACACGGUCCAAACUCCUACGGGAGGCAGCAUG
rnacentral:rRNA from 1 species